UCUGCUCUCCACCUGACAUACAUCUCUCCGGGGCAGCAAGGGAGUGCAGGCUACCUGCUUGAAUUGGAGGAAUGAAAAGGGAAGAUACAAAAAGAAACAAAUCAAUAUCUGAAAAUAUGCAGCCAUAAAGUUAGGGCUCUUCUCUACUAUGAUCCUCCCUGGGUCUUUCUUCAAGACUCUAAGAAGAGACUAGGAAACAGACCUCUUGUUAAGAAAAGAAUAAAAUGUCUAGACCCUAUUUCUGUAAGUGGCUUAACCACAGUUCCCUCUCCUCUUCAACACAAGAGGGUUCUUCUAAAACAGCUUUCACUGAACAGUGAACACUGUUGCUGUGUUGCAAAGAUGAAAGCAAAAUUCCAUGUGUGAAGCCCAAAUUGAAAUCACAGAAGGCAGGAUUCACACUGCUAAUUGUUGCUUAGCAAUAAAAUGUGCAAAACCUGCUAAUGGAACAGUGACACCAGGCACCAGAGGCAUCUGUAUCCACACUGGCAGUAAAUUAGGGAAUUAGAAACUCUACAGUAACAGCAAGAAAAGGAAUUCCAUCUCUUAGGAACCCAGGGAGGGUUUCUGCACUCAUUCCUGCUUACUGCUCAGUUGAAAAGAAAGUCUCUUCAUCCACUAGAUACUGCUAUUGUGACAGUUGAAGACUGCAAGGAAAUAGAAGCUCGGAGGUUCAGAUUAUUCUAAAAGUGUCCCUGAUGGAUUUGCACGUGCCUACAAAAAAUAGUAUUUUUUUCCCCUGUUGAAAAGAUUUGCAGUAAAGAUAGACCUUCAAAUGCCAGCUUGUACGUUUGCUAAGGCAGCAGAGUGGGACAAAAAGCUCUGUCACUGCCACCUCAUCACAGGUGUUCUGUGGGUAGUAGUCAGCCUCCAGCAUAGGGACCGUGUGUCAGGAACCAAAACAAAAUAGCCAGGUAUAGUGGCACAUGCCUGUAGUCCAAACUACUCAGGAGGGUAAGGAGGGAGGAUCACUUGAGCCCAGAACUUCGAGGCUGCAGUAAGCCAUGAUCGCAUCGCACCACUGCACUCCUGCCUGGGGGACAAAGCAAGACCCUGUCUCAAAAAAACGCUAUCAAGAGCUGCAUACUGAAACAAAUUCAUUUAUUUCGCAGUUAUCUAGCCUGCCUUUAAUGACAACCUGUUAUUCCCUAAAUUGGUGAAUGAAAAAAAUCCAGAUGCUUAGCAACCCAAUGGACACUUUGUAAAUGCUUUUUAUUGAAGUAUACCUAACACACUGUAAAGUCCAGACAUUUUAUCAGUAUUUCUCAAUACAUUUUUUCACUUACAUAGUGUAUACCCAUGUAACCGACCACAUCGAUCAAGACUUAGAAAUUCCCAGCACUCUUGAAUGUUCUUGCAAGCAAUAUUGCCCCCCAAAUAGCCAUCAUUUUAACAUCUACCACAGCAGAUUAGUUGUGCCUAUUGUUGAACUUCAUAUACAUAAGGUCACUGAGUAUUUUACUGUUUAAUGUCUAGCUUCUUUCACUCAACAUUAUGUCUGAGAGAUUCAUCCAUGUUGCAAUUAGUAUUUUUUAUUGCAGUGUAGUAUUCCAUUGUGCAAAUAUCCACAAUGGUUUAUUUACCCAUUCUCCUUUGAUGGACAUUUGGGGUUAUUUUCGCAUUUGAACUACUAUG